rnacentral:misc_RNA from 1 species
UGAAAAUAGAGAUGAAGCAACCACUAAUGAAAAUACUUAACAAUGGUUGCCUAGGAGCAUGCAUCAACCAGUUUGGUCCGAACCUAUAAAAAUCUAAACUGAACCAAUCGAACCGAAUAAUAAGUGAAACAGAAUUGAAUUGAACCAAGAUAAUUAGAUUCAACUUAGCUUGGUUCGUCGGUUUUGAACUUUGAUGUUUUUAUUUCUUCAGGCAAUUGUAAUUACUUUUAUUAUCAAUAUUAGCUUAACAGAAAUACAAAUCUAUAUUUCCUUUGGAAUUUUGAUUUCCCACUCAGCUGG